UGUGCUAUACUUUAAAGCGUUGUCUCUACAACCCUUGGCGCUUUUUCCCUUUCGCCAAGCAUAUUAGAAACGUAGAAGGGGCUAACUUUCUAACGUUAAAGGAGAAGAAUUU
rfam:Streptococcus sp. HSISB1 chromosome, whole genome shotgun sequence.